GACCAAAGGGGGCGAGCGCAAGCAGCUUCCACCGAAGGAGGAGCCUGCGUCCGAUUAGCUAGUUGGUGGGGUAACGGCCUACCAAGGCGACGAUCGGUAGCCGGCCUGAGAGGGCGACCGGCCACACUGGAACUGAGACACGGUCCAGACUCCUACGGGAGGCAGCAGUGGGGAAUAUUGCGCAAUGGGCGAAAGCCUGACGCAGCGACGCCGCGUGGGUGAUGAAGGCCUUCGGGUUGUAAAGCCCUGUCGGGUGGAACGAAUGACUUAGUAGCGAAUAACCGCUAGGUGUGACGGUACCACCGAAGGAAGCCCCGGCUAACUACGUGCCAGCAGCCGCGGUAAGACGUAGGGGGCGAGCGUUGUUCGGAUUUACUGGGCGUAAAGCGCGCGUAGGCGGCCAGAUAAGUCGGGUGUGAAAUCCCUCGGCUCAACCGAGGGUCCGCAUCCGAUACUGCUUGGCUCGAGUCUAGGAGAGGAAAGCGGAAUUCCCAGUGUAGCGGUGAAAUGCGUAGAUAUUGGGAGGAACACCGGUGGCGAAGGCGGCUUUCCGGACUAGUACUGACGCUGAGGCGCGAAAGCUAGGGGAGCGAACGGGAUUAGAUACCCCGGUAGUCCUAGCCGUAAACGAUGGGCACUAGGUGUGGGAGGUAUUGACCCCUUCCGCGCCGAAGCUAACGCAUUAAGUGCCCCGCCUGGGGAGUACGGCCGCAAGGCUAAAACUCAAAGGAAUUGACGGGGGCCCGCACAAGCGGUGGAGCAUGUGGUUUAAUUCGACGCAACGCGAAGAACCUUACCAGGGCUUGACAUCCCACGAACCUGCCUGAAAGGGCGGGGUGCCCGCAAGGGAGCGUGGAGA
rnacentral:rRNA from 1 species